UUUGUUUCGCUUUUUAGUUUUAUUUCACUUUGCUUUGAUGUUAGAGGUUGAGUGGAAAAUGAUAAGGUCUGAAAACCAGACGUGAUUUGUAGCUUCCUGUAUGGAAUUUUGAAACAUUGAGUCAGAAAGCAGUACCAGGUUAAGAUUACUUUUUCACGGGUCCACGAGCAGAAUCACCGUUGAGAGCGUCUCUGCUGAAUGAGGAGCCUGCAGCUGGGUUGUUGGACAAAACUGCCUUGAUUCUGAAUCAUUCAACAGGUUCUUCGGUUAUUUCUGAGUCGACUCCAUGGAACGAUCUCUCUUCCCCUUCGCUAUGCAUUAAUUACUGGCAUCUUCGUUGCGAGCGCACACGAGCGCACACUGGGCCUUUGGAUGGAGCCAUCAUGGAGGUGUGGAGCACACUGCCAGUUUAAACAAAGGAAACUAACGAAUUUCAUUGCCAUUUGAUGGACUGGAGUCGACUCCGGAACCGAAGCAGGCUUCUUGUGGUUUGAUUUUUGGCUUUUGAAUUGUAUUCUAUCUAUCUGAAUUUCUGUAUUUUAAAACAGCAAGUGCAGCACAUCAGACGAUAAUUUGAUGUUUAUUUGUGUUUUUUUUUUGCUGUAAUUUUAUUGUCAUUUUUUGUGUGUUGAAUUGAAGUAACUAUGUGCAAAAUUACGAGUAUGUGCGGCAAAAGUUGCAAUAAAG